rnacentral:misc_RNA from 1 species
GGCUUUUAGUUAUUUUUUUUUUUUAAAUUAACGGUCAAUUGGAUGAAAAAUUGGAAGUAGGGACCAAAUUUUAGGAUUUGCCAAAUUUUAGAGACUAAAUUGCUUAGUUUUGAAAAUACAAAAACUAAGUUUUAAAUUUUGUCAAACCUUAGAAACUAAAUUGUAAUUUACCUUGUUAUUUUUUAAAUGAAACUCUCUUUCCUGAAAUGAUAAAUCAUAAUAUUUCAAUUGUUUAGUUCUAAAAGUAUUUUGUACAUCAUCUUUUUAUA